UGGGGGAUAUUGCACAAUGGGCGAAAGCCUGAUGCAGCGACGCCGCGUGGGGGAUGAAGGCCUUCGGGUUGUAAACUUCUUUUGCUCUGAACAAGGCAUGCUAAUGGGUGUGUUGAGUGUAGGGGUUGAUUAGCGCCGGCUAACUACGUGCCAGCAGCCGCGGUAAUACGUAGGGCGCGAGCGUUGUCCGGAAUUAUUGGGCGUAAAGGGCUUGUAGGUGGCUGGUUGCGUCUGUCGUGAAAGCUCAUGGCUUAACUGUGGGUGUGCGGUGGGUACGGGCUGGCUUGAGUGCAGUAGGGAGGGCUGGAAUUCCUGGUGUAGCGGUGGAAUGCGCAGAUAUCAGGAGGAAGACAGGUGGCGAAGGCGGGUCUCUGGGCUGUUACUGACACUGAGGAGCGAAAGCAUGGGGAGCGAACAGG
rnacentral:rRNA from 1 species